GGGGUUGUGGCUCAGUGGUAGAGCACUUGCCUAGCAUGUGUGAGGCACUGGGUUCAAUUCUCAGUACCA
rfam:Ictidomys tridecemlineatus contig046213, whole genome shotgun sequence.